rnacentral:lncRNA from 1 species
GCAGAGGUCUAAAGGAUGUUGUGCGAAAAAUGCAAAGCUUGUGGACUAUUGUAGAAUUUGACGAUUCCUAUACUAUAGACAUUGCAAUGAUGGAAAUGAUCGUGAAAAAUAAUCAGCUUGUAUGUCUCAAUCUAAGUAACCAAAAUAUUACUUUUGGGUCACACAGAUUUACCAAAUUGAUGCUAAAGCUUACUCCUACUAUUCAAGAAUUGUAUGUAGCAGAAACACCGCUAAACAAUCUUGCAUUUGUAAUGUCCUUGCGAAAUUUAACCACCCUUGAUAUAAGUGGGAC